GUGAGGAAUUUUCCGCAAUGGGCGAAAGCCUGACGGAGCAAUGCCGCGUGAAGGAUGAAGGCCUAUGGGUUGUAAACUUCUUUUCUCAGAAAAGAAUUAUGACGGUAUCUGAGGAAUAAGCAUCGGCUAACUCUGUGCCAGCAGCCGCGGUAAGACAGAGGAUGCAAGCGUUAUCCGGAAUGAUUGGGCGUAAAGCGUCUGUAGGUUGUUUAAAAAGUAUUCUGUCAAAGAUUAGGGCUUAACCCUAGAUAGGCAGAAUAAACUUUUAAUCUAGAGUUUGGUAGAGGCAGAGGGAAUUCCAGGUGGAGCGGUGAAAUGCUUAGAUAUCGGGAGGAACACCAAAGGCGAAGGCACUCUGCUAGGCCAAUACUAACACUGAGAGACGAAAGCGAGGGGAGCAAAUGGGAUUAGAAACCCGUGUAGUCC
rnacentral:rRNA from 1 species